rnacentral:misc_RNA from 1 species
GGAAUACAACACGUUAUCAGAAUGAAAUCUUGCUACACUUGUUCACAGUCAGUUUCUGAAGACUCAAUAGCUCCUAAUCUCUCUCUCCGCGCUGCAGUGCAGGCAUUCCGCCGGGAAGAGGAGUUACAAUAUUAUCACUCAUUCAAAAGGAGGAGAGAGAGGUUUGAGCAGGACAAGGGUGUUACUGGUGAUUCACCUGCAAUGGAUACCCCAAGGGGACGAGGUGUGCAGUUCCCAUUUUCUGUGACAGACCGGGUUAUUAUAAAGGGAA